UUCAAGUGAGUCUUUGGCCACUUACAGCUCUAUUUCUACUUUUCACUAUUUGUUGAAAACUCGGAAUUUACUUCGAGCUAUAACUUGUUGAAAAAUUUUCUUCAUAAAUGGCAUCCAAACAAGAAAAACAAGAACAAAAGUCUGGGACUAAAGAUAGGUCCACACCAUAUUCGGAGUAUGAAGACCCAAGUCAGUUGAAAGGCAAAGCAAGUAAUUCUAAACCAGACGAUCAGAACAGACAGGCCCAGUAUGUACCAGAAAAAAGAAAUGAUUACGAAGACAGAGAUUUCAGUACAAUUAACAUUGUGCAGCUUACUUCGUACGAAGACUUUUC